rnacentral:misc_RNA from 1 species
AAGUCGUAACAAGGUUUCCGUAGGUGUGUGGAAGGAUCAUGAACACGUUAAACAAUCUAGCCCCCGCGGAACAGCAAUCCCGGUAAAUCAAGUGGCGGAAAGUUUUUUUGAUUCGGGACCUCUGUCCGAGUGGUAUCAAGUUAGAAUCCGAACUUGAGCAGUGGCAUGGUUUCCCUACGCAGUGCAGAAGGAUCCACUGAUAAGAAUGACGCCUCACGGUUGCUAGCGGUCGAUCACCGGCCAGCAGACAUGUCACACCUUCGUUCACCCCUUGCCUAUUUAGCCCCGCGGAAACGCCAGGGCUCAAAACCGAACAACUGUUAACAAUGGAUAUCUUGGUUCUC